UUCAGUUCCUGGGUCAGGAAGAUCCCCUGGAGAAGAAAAGGCAGCCCACCCCAAUAUUCUUGCCUGGAGAAUUCCACGGUCAGAGGAACCUGGUGGGCUUCAGUCCAUGGAGUCACAAAGAGUCAGCAACGACUGAGCACAUCAGCACAUACUGUAAUCUAAUAUGAUUGUUUCAUUUUGUAUUCUUACAGAAGAGUUUGAACCUUCCAGUUCUUCCAUAUCCUUGCCAAUAUGUUUAGUCUUUUUAAACUUUUGACUUUUACAAUAGAUGUGUAAUGUUAUCUCACUGUUGUUUUAAUUGCAUUCCUCAGAUGUUUUAUGAUGUGGAGCAUUUUCUCAUUUUUUAAAUUUCCCACUAGUGUAUGUCCUCUUGGUAACUUUCAUCCAUUUUUAUAGAAAUAAUUUUGACUGUUUCUUUUUUUAUUAGCAAGAUAGUGAAACAACAAAGACUUAAUUUGAAACUUCAUUCUUUAGGGAUGUAAUUCCUAGCCAUAAGAAAUAAUUAUUUUUGAAUUCUGAAAUACUAUUUUCUAAUUUUUUUUUCUGCUGUAUAUAGUGCAGUGGCCCCAUACAGCAUAUUUUAAGUUUAAUCUGUAUUACUAACAUAUUCCCCAUAAUCAAGCCAAGAAUUACAUUGUUUGCAGUUUCCCCAAUAUGAAUAUUCCCACGGCUGUCAAUUGAAAACUUCCAAUGUGAUAUCAUUGAACAUGGAGUUUGAGAAUUGACAGCACACCAGUAUAUUGUGUUUCCUCUGUGCUGAUGUUUUCUGGGCUUCCUAGGUGGCACAGUGCUAAAGAACCCCCCUGCCAGUUCAGGAGACACAAGAGACAUGGGUUUGAUCCCCUGGAGGAGGAAAUGGCAACCUACUCCAGCAUUCUUGCCUGGAAAAUUCCAUGGACAGAGGAGCUCUGAUUCCUUAUCCUAAAACGUUGAAGUAGGUCUACUUGAAAGGUAAGAAAUAGGCUCAGAAAACAAACCAAAAAAAAAAAAGAAAGUCAAGAAUUUGGCAGCACCACUUGUCACACGUGGUUCUUCCUAAAUUUAUUCAGCCAUUGGGGUUACUAUUGUGAAAGGAAAAUCAAAACGGAGUCUAUAUUGAGCAGGGCUUUCGAAAAUGGCGUGCAGAGACUAUUACGGAAGUGUGAUUUAUGCACCUCUCAGCCUGGAUGGAAUCUGAUCUUUUGACUACUUAUUGUCCUAAUGAAGCCACCUAGAACAUCUGCCAGGAACUCAGGAUGCUUAUCAAACCCUUACCCUAAAGUAACUCAUGAUCGCCUAUCUACCUUUUGGAUCCCAACCCUAAAAAACUCCUAAUUGCUUAAGGACAAAUAUUUCCUAAAUUGCAUCAGACUCAGUCACAGUUCUCACAAGGCAACUUGAAGAAACUCAUGGCUUUCUGUCUUUGUAAGCCCCCGAGUCUCUUCUCCCGGAACACUCUUUUGGAAUUACCUGAUUCUGUGUCUCCUGAAUUGCAGUUCUUAAAACUCCAAAUAAACUCUUUUCUUACUUGCAGCCUCCUGUGUUGUUUUUUUGGUUGGCAUUACGUGGUGUCAGAAGCAGGAUACAGGAUGCAGACCUGCAUAAGCCCUCACCGCCUCUAACACUGCCUUGGAUUCAAGUCAGGUGCCUAGAAGAGCCCAUUGAGCUUUUCAUCUCCUUGGUGAUCCCAGAUCAUGGUGAUACACACUUAAAAAGACAAGAGAUUGAACUUCCCUGGUGGCUCAGUGGUAAAGAAUCUAUCUGCCAAUGCAGGAGACCCUGGUUUUACCCCUACUCCAAGAAAUCCCACAUGCUGAGGAGCAGCUAAGCCCAUGUGCCGCAACUGCUGAACCCACACACCACAGCUACUGAAGCCCACAUGCCCUAGAGCCCAGGCUUCGCAAUAAGAGAAGUACACUGCAGUGAAGAAUAGCCCCGGUUUGGUGCAACUUGAGAAAAGUCCUCGCAGCAACGAAGACCCAGCCCAGCCAAAAAUAAAUAAAUAAAAAACAAGAGAUUUACUUCUUGUUGAAAAUGGGGAAUGAGAUUUCCUUCCUCUCAGAACAUUUACCUUAGAAAAUUUGUAGGAACUGUCUCAUCUUUUUAAAAUUCAUGUCUUUGAAGACUUAUAAGAAGGCCUUUUCUUUUUUUUCCCCCCCCCCCCCCAGUUUUAGGACUCAGAUGUCUUUCUCAAGAACCUGGGACCCAUCUCCUCCCACUGCAGACAGGGAAAUAGCUCACCAGUCAGUUCUGGUAGGAGGAUAGAAGUCUCAUCUUAGUGGAUGCUGUGCCCCAACUUUAAAAACUACCUUCAGUUACAGAGAUGAGAAGUCUGUGUUUCCUCUGGAUAAAACCAGUAAACUACACAGUCACCCCAUUACCAGGUAAAAUUAGGGCACUGUGUGACAAACGGUAUUGUCAGCUCCUCUUUCUUGAGGAUUAGGGGAGUUAGAUUUUUUUCCCGUCUUUACAAUUCCCUAGUGGAUUGCCUGUGAUGCACUGUAAUCCUUUAAUACUUAUUUUAACAAUAAAAUUUAUUUUGUCUCUU